rnacentral:rRNA from 1 species
GUUCGGUGGAUGCCUUGGCAUCAGGGGCCGAUGAAGGACGUGGUGGCCUGCGAUAUUCCUCGGGGAGCCGGCUGGCGGGCUGUGAUCCGAGGGUUUCCGAAUGGGGGGACCCGGCACGAGUUAUGUCGUGUCACCUGCAUCUGAAUUGUAUAGGGUGUGGGGGGUGACGCGGGGAAGUGAAACAUCUUAGUACCCGUAGGAGAAGAUAUUCCGUGAGUAGUGGCGAGCGAAAGCGGAUGAUGGCUAAACCGUUGUCGUGUGGUGACCCGGCAGGGGCUGCGGCGGCGGGGUUGUUGGGGUGCGUCUGUUCUCAUCUCUGCCGGGGUGGGGCGCGUGUGUGGCUGGGUAGCUGAACCGUCUGGGAUGGCGGGCCGGAGUGGGUGAGAGCCCUGUAGGCGGAACCUGGUUGUGUGCGUGUAGGGCGUUCUCCCGUUGUAGCACGGGGCUCGUGGAAUCCUGUGUGAGUCUGCCAAGACCACUUGGUUGCCUGAAUACUUCCUGAUGACCGAUAGCGGAUGAGUACCGUGAGGGAAUGGUGAAAAGUACCCCGGGAGGGGAGUGAAAGAGUACCUGAAACCGUGUGCUUACAAGCCGUUAUAGCCCCCGUUGUGUGGGGUGGUGGCGUGCCUUUUGAAGAAUGAGCCUGCGAGUUAGUGUUUUGUCGCGAGGUUAACCCGUGUGGGGUAGUCGUAGCGAAAGCGAGUCUGAAUAGGGCGUUGUAGUGGCAGGAUCUAGACCCGAAGCGGAGUGAUCUAUCCAUGGCCAGGUUGAAGCACGUGUAAGAGCGUGUGGAGGACCGAACCCACCUAGGUUGAAAACUGGGGGGAUGAGCUGUGGGUAGGGGUGAAAGGCCAAUCAAACUCCGUGAUAGCUGGUUCUCCCCGAAAUGCAUUUAGGUGCAGCGUUGCGUGGUUCUUUGCGGAGGUAGAGCGACUGGAUGGCUGAUGGGCCCCACCGGGUUACUGAGGUCAGCCAAACUCCGAAUGCCGCAAAGGGGUGAGCGUGGCAGUGAGACGGCGGGGGAUAAGCUUCGUCGUCGAGAGGGAAACAGCCCAGAUCGCCGGUUAAGGCCCCUAAGCGUGUGCUAAGUGGGAAAGGAUGUGGAGUUGCUGGGACAACCAGGAGGUUGGCUUAGAAGCAGCCAUCCUUGAAAGAGUGCGUAAUAGCUCACUGGUCAAGUGGUUCCGCGCCGACAAUGUAGCGGGGCUUAAGCACACCGCCGACGCCGCGGCAGUCCAUCGUGGUCCUAGCCUGUCCGUUGGGCGGGUUCAGGGGGUGGGCUGGGUAGGGGAGCGUCCCGCGUUGGGUGAAGUCUCGGGGUGACCCGGGGUGGACGGCGUGGGAGUGAGAAUGCAGGCAUGAGUAGCGAGAGGCGGGUGAGAAACCCGUCCGCCGAUUGACUAAGGGUUCCAGGGCCAGGUUGAUCCGCCCUGGGUUAGUCGGGUCCUAAGGCGAGGCCGACGGGCGUAGUCGAUGGACAACGGGUUGAUAUUCCCGUACCGGCGCUUGACCGUUCAAUGUUCGCCGGGGUGAUGCUAACCAUCCCCGAUCCUGUGUGUCUCUUUCGGGAGGCGUGUGGGGGAGGGCGUGGGGUCCGAGCCUGGGUGGGCAAGCGUGGUAACAGGUGUGACGCAGAGUGGUAGUCCAACCGUGUCGUAUGGCUGAGCACGGCUAAGGGUGCAGCCCGUCUCCCAGGUAAAUCCGGGGGGCGUUCGGGUCAGGCCUGAUGGGGACCGUUUGACGGGAAGUGGAUGAUCCUGUGCUGCCGAGAAAAGCAUCGACGUCAGGGCAAGCGCCGCCCGUACCCGAAACCGACACAGGUGGUCAGGUAGAGUAUACCGAGGCGUGCGAGUCAAUCGUGGUUAAGGAACUCGGCAAAAUGCCCCCGUAACUUCGGGAGAAGGGGGGCCCGGGCCUUGAUGUCCCCGUGCGGGGCGGAAGGGGCGCGGGCCGCAGAGUCCAGGGAGAAGCGACUGUUUAUCAAAAACACAGGUGCGUGCUAAGCCGCAAGGCGAUGUAUACGCACUGACGCCUGCCCGGUGCUGGAAGGUUAAGCGGACUGGUCAGCCCUUCGGGGUGAAGCUGGGAAGUUAAGCCCCAGUAAACGGCGGUGGUAACUAUAACCAUCCUAAGGUAGCGAAAUUCCUUGUCGGGUAAGUUCCGACCUGCACGAAUGGCGUAACGACUUCCC